rnacentral:misc_RNA from 1 species
AGCCGCGGUAAUUCCAGCUCCAAUAGCGUAUAUUAAAGUUGUUGCAGUUAAAAAGCUCGUAGUUGAAUUUCGGGGUUAGUAGGUUGGUCAUGCCUCUGGUAUGUACUGAUCUCACUGAUUCCUCCUUCCUUAUGAACCGUAAUGCCAUUAAUUUGGUGUUGCGGGGAAUUUGGACUGUUACUUUGAAAAAAUUAGAGUGUUUAAAGCAGGCUAACGCUUGAAUACAUUAGCAUGGAAUAAUGAAAUAGGACGUUCGAUCUUAUUUUGUUGGUUUCUAGGAUUGACGUAAUGAUUAAUAGGGAUAGUUGGGGGCAUUAGUAUUCAAUUGUCAGAGGUGAAAUUCUUGGAUUUAUUGAAGACUAACUACUGCGAAAGCAUUUGCCAAGGAUGUUUUCAUUAAUCAAGAACGAAAGUUAGGGGAUCGAAGACGAUCAGAUACCGUCGUAGUCUUAACCAUAAACUAUGCCGACUAGGGAUCGGAUGAUGUUAAUUUUUUAAUGACUCAUUCGGCGCCUUACG